AACAAGUUAUAUUUUACUAUAAUCUCUUCAACCUACAGGUUUGAUCUUUCCAUAUCCCAGCCGUUGGUAGUUGACAGCUGUUAUAUUGUGUUUAACAGGAAGUUGAUUGAGUAGCUCUUUUACUGUUAAGAUUCUUUUUCAGUUAUAUUUUCUCAGCUUAAGUUGUUUUUUUGAACAAAAUGCAACCUCAGCAUCCCAUUAA